rnacentral:lncRNA from 1 species
CCAGAUGCUUCCUGCCCUCGAACAUCGGACUGCAAGUUCUUCAACUUUUGGACUCUAGGACCUACACCAGUGGUUUGCCAGGGGCCCCCUGGCCUUUGGCCACAGACUGAGGGCUACACUGUUAGCUUCCAUAUUUUUGAGGUUUUGGGACUCAGACUGGCUUCCUUGCUCCUCAGCUUGCAGACGGCCUAUUGUGGGACAUCACCUUGUGAUCAUCAAUUCGACUGUCCAGACGUCUCUACAUUUCUGAGCUUUUCUGCUGUUUGCCUUCGUCUCAUGUACUUAGAAAUUUGAAGACAUUUUAAAGGUAUGCUCAGCAGAAUGUGAGACACUAAGUUCAUCGUUUCUUUCCACUGCAAUUCCGGCUUACCAAGUAUCUUGCAUGGAUGUUCAAUUUCUUGCAAUGGGUAAAGAGUCUGAAAAUGCCCUGAAGGAAAAAGGAACAGCUGGUUGACUUCCUGAGUGUUGUCCUGCUUCUCCAAGAUUUUGUCCCCUCAAGACCUGUCUUUUCAUUAAUUCUUCAGUGCCCCUUAGGUUGCUCCUCUUCCUCCUUGCUUUGUUUCCUGUUUUUUAAUUUUUAUUUUAAAAUUUAAUUUUUUUUUUUUCUAUUUCCCCAAGAACUAGGGGUGCAUGGGUCUGAUUUUAAGUGCUCCAUCAAAGAUGGAAGAGGAAGUCCAAAAGUACUUGACUUUGAAUUCAUGCAGAAACAAAUUAACAUUCCAUUAUAGGGUUUACUGUGAAAGUAACUUACUCUUUUUUUAACAGUGCAAAAUCCUUUACUUAUAAUUUACAAAUUGUAAUUGAAGGUAUAUUAUUUUAGUCACAUAUGUGAAAAAUGCUUAGCACGUGACUCAAUAAAUUUAAAAAAACUAAAUAAAUACCCUUUUUUGAAUGAAAUAUUUAAUAAAAUGCAUAAGUUACUGAAAAAC